GAGCCGCGGCUAAGGAACGCGGGCCGCCCACCCGCUCCCGGUGCAGCGGCCUCCGCGCCGGGUUUUGGCGCCUCCCGCGGGCGCCCCCCUCCUCACGGCGAGCGCUGCCACGUCAGACGAAGGGCGCAGCGAGCGUCCUGAUCCUUCCGCCCGGACGCUCAGGACAGCGGCCCGCUGCUCAUAAGACUCGGCCUUAGAACCCCAGUAUCAGCAGAAGGACAUUUUAGGACGGGACUUGGGUGACUCUAGGGCACUGGUUUUCUUUCCAGAGAGCGGAACAGGCGAGGAAAAGUAGUCCCUUCUCGGCGAUUCUGCGGAGGGAUCUCCGUGGGGCGGUGAACGCCGAUGAUUAUAUAAGGACGCGCCGGGUGUGGCACAGCUAGUUCCGUCGCAGCCGGGAUUUGGGUCGCAGUUCUUGUUUGUGGAUCGCUGUGAUCGUCACUUGAUCUUCGUGAAGACUCUGACUGGUAAGACCAUCACCCUCGAGGUUGAGCCCAGUGACACCAUCGAGAAUGUCAAGGCAAAGAUCCAAGAUAAGGAAGGCAUCCCUCCUGACCAGCAGAGGCUGAUCUUUGCUGGAAAACAGCUGGAAGAUGGGCGCACCCUGUCUGACUACAACAUCCA
rnacentral:lncRNA from 1 species